GGAGCAGCCGUAAGCAGGAGCACUGAACACAUGAGUUAUGUUAACGUUACAGUCCGGGUGUCAGUCAGUCCGUUCGGAAAUAACGCGCCCUUUUUCAGUGAGCCUGGAUCGUCACAGCGGACAUCAUCAUGCCAAGCAACCGAUCACCGGCUGAGGUCCUGUGGAAAGCAGAUGAUCAUGGCAAACAAGCCAGAUGAUCUGACGGUUGCUGCUCGCAUCUCGGCCUAGCUGAUGGAACAUUCUUGCUGGAUGAAUGACCUUCACCUUCAACUCAACCUUGCCAGGACAUAACUGCUUAUGGUUUCAGCCAAACCA